rnacentral:rRNA from 1 species
GAGUUUGAUUAUGGCUCAGGAUGAACGCUAGCGGCAGGCCUAACACAUGCAAGUCGAGGGGUAGAGUGCUUCGGCACUUGAGACCGGCGUACGGGUGCGUAACGCGUGUACAAUCUACCUUUUGCUAAGGGAUAGCCCGAAGAAAUUUGGAUUAAUACCUUAUAGUAUUAUUGGGUGGCAUCAUUUAAUAAUUAAAGCUACGGUGGCAAAAGAUGAGUACGCGUCCCAUUAGCUAGUUGGAGUGGUAACGGCACACCAAGGCUACGAUGGGUAGGGGUUCUGAGAGGGAUGUCCCCCACACUGGUACUGAGACACGGACCAAACUCCUACGGGAGGCAGCAGUGAGGAAUAUUGGACAAUGGUCGGAAGACUGAUCCAGCCAUGCCGCGUGCAGGAUGACGGCCUUAUGGGUUGUAAACUGCUUUUGUAUGGGAAGAAUAAGAUUUACGUGUAGAU